AAAUGAAUAGACGGGGGCUCACACAAGCGGUGGAGCAUGUUGCUUAAUUCGAAGCAACGCGAAGAACCUUACCUGGGUUUGACAUGCAUGGAUUAGCUCCUGGAAACAGGAGUAACGCCCGCAAGGGUGGAACAUGCACAGGUGCUGCAUGGCUGUCGUCAGCUCGUGCUGUGAAGUGUCGCGUUAAGUCGCUUAACGAGCGCAACCCCUGUCGCUAGUUGCCAACACGUAAUGGUGGGGACUCUAGCGAGACUGCCGGUGUCAAACCGGAGGAAGGCGGGGAUGACGUCAAGUCCUCAUGGCCCUUACAUCCAGGGUUGCAAACGUGCUACAAUGGCGAGUACAAAGCGAAGCAAGACCGCGAGGUGGAGCAAAUCGCAAAAAACUCGCCCCAGUUCGGAUUGCAGGCUGCAACCCGCCUGCAUGAAGCCGGAAUCGCUAGUAAUCGGAGAUCAGCUACGCUCCGGUGAAUAUGUUCCUGAGCCUUGUACACACCGCCCGU
rnacentral:rRNA from 1 species